GUCUGGAAAGGCGCGCGAUACAGGGUGACAGCCCCGUACACAAAAGCGCAUGUGCUGUGAGCUCGAUGAGUAGGGCGGGACACGUGGUAUCCUGUCUGAAUAUGGGGGGACCAUCCUCCAAGGCUAAAUACUCCUGACUGACCGAUAGUGAACCAGUACCGUGAGGGAAAGGCGAAAAGAACCCCGGCGAGGGGAGUGAAAAAGAACCUGAAACCGUGUACGUACAAGCAGUGGGAGCACAGGUUUACCUGUGUGACUGCGUACCUUUUGUAUAAUGGGUCAGCGACUUAUAUUCUGUAGCAAGGUUAACCGAAUAGGGGAGCCGCAGGGAAACCGAGUCUUAAUUGGGCGUUAAGUUGCAGGGUAUAGACCCGAAACCCGGUGAUCUAGCCAUGGGCAGGUUGAAGGUUGGGUAACACUAACUGGAGGACCGAACCGACUAAUGUUGAAAAAUUAGCGGAUGACCUGUGGCUGGGGGUGAAAGGCCAAUCAAACCGGGAGAUAGCUGGUUCUCCCCGAAAGCUAUUUAGGUAGCGCCUCGUGAAUUCAUCUCCGGGGGUAGAGCACUGUUUCGGCUAGGGGGCCAUCCCGGCUUACCAACCCGAUGCAAACUGCGAAUACCGGAGAAUGUUAUCACGGGAGACACACGGCGGGUGCUAACGUCCGUCGUGAAGAGGGAAACAACCCAGACCGCCAGCUAAGGUCCCAAAGUCAUGGUUAAGUGGGAAACGAUGUGGGAAGGCCCAGACAGCCAGGAUGUUGGCUUAGAAGCAGCCAUCAUUUAAAGAAAGCGUAAUAGCUCACUGGUCGAGUCGGCCUGCGCGGAAGAUGUAACGGGGCUAAACCAUGCACCGAAGCUGCGGCAGCGACGCUGAUGCGUUGUUGGGUAGGGGAGCGUUCUGUAAGCCUGUGAAGGUGGCCUGUGAGGGUUGCUGGAGGUAUCAGAAGUGCGAAUGCUGACAUAAGUAACGAUAAAGCGGGUGAAAAGCCCGCUCGCCGGAAGACCAAGGGUUCCUGUCCAACGUUAAUCGGGGCAGGGUGAGUCGACCCCUAAGGCGAGGCCGAAAGGCGUAGUCGAUGGGAAACGGGUUAAUAUUCCCGUACUUGGUGUUACUGCGAAGGGGGGACGGAGAAGGCUAUGUUGGCCGGGCGACGGUUGUCCCGGUUUAAGCGUGUAGGUGUGUGUUCCAGGUAAAUCCGGUUCACUUUAACACUGAGGCGUGAUGACGAGGCACUACGGUGCUGAAGCAACAAAUGCCCUGCUUCCAGGAAAAGCCUCUAAGCAUCAGGUAACAUCAAAUCGUACCCCAAACCGACACAGGUGGUCAGGUAGAGAAUACCAAGGCGCUUGAGAGAACUCGGGUGAAGGAACUAGGCAAAAUGGUGCCGUAACUUCGGGAGAAGGCACGCUGACACGUAGGUGAAGUGAUUUACUCACGGAGCUGAAGUCAGUCGAAGAUACCAGCUGGCUGCAACUGUUUAUUAAAAACACAGCACUGUGCAAACACGAAAGUGGACGUAUACGGUGUGACGCCUGCCCGGUGCCGGAAGGUUAAUUGAUGGGGUCAGCGCAAGCGAAGCUCCUGAUCGAAGCCCCGGUAAACGGCGGCCGUAACUAUAACGGUCCUAAGGUAGCGAAAUUCCUUGUCGGGUAAGUUCCGACCUGCACGAAUGGCGUAAUGAUGGCCAGGCUGUCUCCACCCGAGACUCAGUGAAAUUGAACUCGCUGUGAAGAUGCAGUGUACCCGCGGCAAGACGGAAAGACCCCGUGAACCUUUACUAUAGCUUGACACUGAACAUUGAGCCUUGAUGUGUAGGAUAGGUGGGAGGCUUUGAAGUGUGGACGCCAGUCUGCAUGGAGCCGACCUUGAAAUACCACCCUUUAAUGUUUGAUGUUCUAACGUGGACCCGUGAUCCGGGUUGCGGACAGUGUCUGGUGGGUAGUUUGACUGGGGCGGUCUCCUCCUAAAGAGUAACGGAGGAGCACGAAGGUUGGCUAAUCCUGGUCGGACAUCAGGAGGUUAGUGCAAUGGCAUAAGCCAGCUUGACUGCGAGCGUGACGGCGCGAGCAGGUGCGAAAGCAGGUCAUAGUGAUCCGGUGGUUCUGAAUGGAAGGGCCAUCGCUCAACGGAUAAAAGGUACUCCGGGGAUAACAGGCUGAUACCGCCCAAGAGUUCAUAUCGACGGCGGUGUUUGGCACCUCGAUGUCGGCUCAUCACAUCCUGGGGCUGAAGUAGGUCCCAAGGGUAUGGCUGUUCGCCAUUUAAAGUGGUACGCGAGCUGGGUUUAGAACGUCGUGAGACAGUUCGGUCCCUAUCUGCCGUGGGCGCUGGAGAACUGAGGGGGGCUGCUCCUAGUACGAGAGGACCGGAGUGGACGCAUCACUGGUGUUCGGGUUGUCAUGCCAAUGGCACUGCCCGGUAGCUAAAUGCGGAAGAGAUAAGUGCUGAAAGCAUCUAAGCACGAAACUUGCCCCGA
rnacentral:rRNA from 1 species